UUAUCAGAGAGUUUGAUCCUGGCUCAGGAUGAACGCUGGCGGCGUGCCUAACACAUGCAAGUCGAGCGAAGCACCUGCUUCUGAUCUUUCGGGUGAAGAGGCUUGUGACUGAGCGGCGGACGGGUGAGUAACACGUAGGCAACCUGCCUCACACAGGGGGAUAACAGUUAGAAAUGACUGCUAAUACCGCAUAAGCGCACAGGGCCGCAUGGCCCGGUGUGAAAA
rnacentral:ncRNA from 1 species